rnacentral:rRNA from 1 species
CCUACGAGGGGCAGCAGUGAGGAAUAUUGGUCAAUGGUCGGGAGACUGAACCAGCCAAGCCGCGUGAGGGAUGAAGGUACAGAGUAUCGUAAACCUCUUUUGUCAGGGAACAAAGGCGGGGACGUGUCCCCGGAUGAGUGUACCUGAAGAAAAAGCAUCGGCUAACUCCGUGCCAGCAGCCGCGGUAAUACGGAGGAUGCGAGCGUUAUCCGGAUUUAUUGGGUUUAAAGGGUGCGCAGGCGGUCUGUUAAGUCAACGGUAAAAGCCCGGGGCCAAACCCCGGCCCGCCGUUGAAACGGGCAGUCUAGAGUUGGAGAGAAGUAUGCGGAAUGCGCGGUGUAGCGGUGAAAUGCAUAGAUAUCGCGCAGGACUCCGAUUGCGAAGGCAGCAUGCCGGCUCCACACUGACGCUGAGGCACGAAAGCGUGGGUAUCGAACAGGAUUAGAUACCCUGGUAGUC